AAACAAAAAAUCACGAUUUAACGGUUAUGUUAAUUCCGAUUUUGAUGACUUUUUACAACUACACUACUUGACCCUAUACGAUUACAAUGAAUGAAUUUGAUUGUCAAUUUAAAAUAUUUACACAAGUGGAUACCACAAAUCUUAUGUUAUACUUAAUGAAAGUAUAAAUAAACUCUAAGUGUUAGUGAAUCUAUAGUUUUGAUGGGAUACGAGUUCUAUGAAACUAAUUUUAACGAUCCAACCGUCAAAAUUGUUUGUAUAUGCUUCGAGAUCGCAUACGCCAAAAAUCACAAAAAACAAACAUUCAGAGAACAAGUAAUGAGACAAAACUUUUCGACAGUUAUAAAACAAAAAAUCACGAUUUAACGGUUAUUUUA
rnacentral:lncRNA from 1 species